rnacentral:rRNA from 1 species
UAAGAACCUCCCCUUUCCUGAUAUGAAGGUUGAGGUUAUGAUAUAAUGUGCCCAGUGGGCCACUUUUGGUAAGCAGAACUGGCGCUGUGGGAUGAACCAAACGUAAUGUUACGGUGCCAAAAUUAACAACUCAUACAGAUACCAUGAAAGGCGUUGGUUGCUUAAAACAGCAGGACGGUGGACAUGGAAGUCGUAAUCCGCUAAGGAGUGUGUAACAACUCACCUGCCGAAGCAACUAGCCCUUAAAAUGGAUGGCGCUUAAGUUGUAUACCUAUACAUUACCGCUAAAGUAAAUGAUUUAUAUUCAAUUACGAUUGGAUUUAAUAAAUUUUGAAACUUUAGUGAGUAGGAGGGUAUAAUGAUGUGCAUAGAAGUGUUUGGCGUAAGCCUGCAUGGAGCCGUCAUUAGUACAGAUCUUGGUGGUAGUAGCAAAUAAUCGAAUGAGACCUUGGAGGACUGAAGUGGAGAAGGGUUUCGUGUGAACAGUGGUUGAUCACGAGUUAGUCGGUCCUAAGUUUAAUGCGAAAGCUGAAUAUUUUCAAAGUUUAAUUUAAAAUUAAUAAAUAAAAAUUGUAUAAAACACAUACAACAUAUAUAUUAUUAUAUAUAUAAUACACUUUGAUUAAUAUAUUUAAACGAAAGUUUCGUGUGAACAGUGGUUGAUCACGAGUUAGUCGCUCCUAAGUUUAAUGCGAAAGCUGAAUAUUUUCAAAGUUUAAUUUAAAAUUAAUAAAUAAAAAUUGUAUAAAACACAUACAACAUAUAUAUUAUUUUAUAUAUAAUACACUUUGAUUAAUAUAUUUAAACGAAAGGGAAUACGGUUCCAAUUCCGUAACCUGUUGAGUAUCCGUUUGUUAUUAAAAAUGGGCCUUGUGCUCAUCCUGGUAACAGGAACGACCAUAAAGAAGCCGUCGAGAGAUAUUGGAAGAGUUUUCUUUUCUGUUUUAUAAUCGUACUACCAUGGAAGUCUUUCGAAGAGAGAUAUGGUAGAUGGAUUAGAAGAGCAUGACAUUUCCUGUUGUGUCGAUAUUAUCUCCUCGGACCUUGAAAAUUUAUGGUGGGGUCACGUAAAUCUCUCAACAGGCCGUACCGAUAUCCGCAGCUGGUCUCCAAGGUGAAGAGUCUCUAGUCGAUAGAAUAAUGUAGGUAAGGGAAGUCGGCAAAUUAUUUAAGGAGUUUUUAACAAGAGGUGUCAGAAAAGUUACCACAGGGGUAACUGGCUUGUGGCGGCCAAGCGUUCAUAGCGACGUCGCUUUUUGAUCCUUCGAUGUCGGCUCUCCCUAUCAUUGUGAAGCAAAAUUCACCAAGCGUUGGAUUGUUCACCCAUGCAAGGGAACGUGAGCUGGGUUUAGACCGUCGUGAGACAGGUUAGUUUUACCCUACUAAUGACAAUAUGUUAUUGCGACAGCAUUCCUGCGUAGUACGAGAGGAACCGCAGGUACGGACCAAUGGUACAAUACUUGUUCGAGCGAACAGUGGUAUGAUACUACGUCCGUUGGAUUAUGCCUGAACGCCUCUAAGGUCGUAUCCGCGCUGGACUGCAAUGAUAAAUAUGGGGCAAUUGCAUUGUAUGGCUUCUAAAUUAUUUUUAAGUUUUAUAAGUAACAUUAUAAAACGACAAACAAAUAAUUGUAUGUGACGCCAAUGUUAUAUGUAAUAUAGCUAAUGUAAGAGGAUUAAAUAUCACUUGCAUGUUAUGCUUUUUAAUUACACAUAUUUAAAACAUUAUUUAAUACAAUGACAAUGCCUAGAAUCAAUUGUAAACGACUUUGGUAACGGGCAAGGUGUUGUAAG